rnacentral:rRNA from 1 species
AAUAGAUACCCGGGUAGUCCACGCCGUAAACGAUGGAUACUAGCUGUUGGGAGGUAUCGACCCCUUCAGUAGCGAAGCUAACGCGUUAAGUAUCCCGCCUGUGGAGUACGGUCGCAAGACUAAAACAUAAAGGAAUUGACGGGGGACCGCACAAGCGGUGGAUCGUGUUCUUUAAUUCGAUGAUAAACGAAGAACCUUACCAGGGCUUGACAUCCAGGGAAGCACUACGAAAGUAGCGUGUGCCUUUUGGAACCCUGUGACAGGUGAUGCAUGGCCGUCGUCAGCUCGUGUCGUGAGAUGUUUGGUUAAGUCCAUCAACGAGCGCAACCCUUGUGAAUAGUUGUAUUUUUCUAUUCAGACUGCCCCGGUAACGGGGAGGAAGGAGGGGAUGAUGUCAGGUCAGUAUUUCCCUUACGUCCUGGGCUAGAAACACGAUACAAUGGCUAGUACAAUGCGCAGCAAAGCCGCGAGGUGGAGCAAAAUCGCAUCAAAGCUAGUCCCAGUUCGGAUUGAAGGCUGAAACUCGCCUUCAUGAAGUCGG